rnacentral:tRNA from 1 species
AGAUGUGCCUGAACGUAAAGGGUCACUAUGAUAAAGUG